rnacentral:lncRNA from 1 species
GGUGAAUCCUCACAGAGCUCCCGUCAUCAGGCCUGCAGGCUGACCGGCUGGGACGGACAGGGACCAUGUGGGAGAAAACAUUUCUGCUGCUGCUGCUGCUGCUCAGUGUUGAAGCUGCGGCGGUGUCUCAGUGCUGGCAGGGGGCGACCUUCUCCGAGGCCGUGGUGUCUCCAGCGGUGGAGAGCAGCGGGAUAAUGUGGAUACCCGGCGUGUCGUCGUUGCCGCAGUGCGUGGCGGCGUGCUGCGAC